UUACGGUCAUAUCGCAUUGAAACACCGGUUCUCGUGCGACCACCAAAGUUAAGCAAUGUCAAGUAUGGAUAAUAUCGAGAUGGGUGACCGCUUGGGAAUAUCAGGUACUGUAAG